GAAUUCCAGGUGUAGCGGUGAAAUGCGUAGAGAUCUGGAGGAAUACCGGUGGCGAAGGCGGCCCCCUGGACGAAGACUGACGCUCAGGUGCGAAAGCGUGGGGAGCAAACAGGAUUAGAUACCCUGGUAGUCCACGCCGUAAACGAUGUCGACUUGGAGGUUGUGCCCUUGAGGCGUGGCUUCCGGAGCUAACGCGUUAAGUCGACCGCCUGGGGAGUACGGCCGCAAGGUUAAAACUCAAAUGAAUUGACGGGGGCCCGCACAAGCGGUGGAGCAUGUGGUUUAAUUCGAUGCAACGCGAAGAACCUUACCUGGUCUUGACAUCCACGGAAGUUUUCAGAGAUGAGAAUGUGCCUUCGGGAACCGUGAGACAGGUGCUGCAUGGCUGUCGUCAGCUCGUGUUGUGAAAUGUUGGGUUAAGUCCCGCAACGAGCGCAACCCUUAUCCUUUGUUGCCAGCGGUCCGGCCGGGAACUCAAAGGAGACUGCCAGUGAUAAACUGGAGGAAGGUGGGGAUGACGUCAAGUCAUCAUGGCCCUUACGACCAGGGCUACACACGUGCUACAAUGGCGCAUACAAAGAGAAGCGACCUCGCGAGAGCAAGCGGACCUCAUAAAGUGCGUCGUAGUCCGGAUUGGAGUCUGCAACUCGACUCCAUGAAGUCGGAAUCGCUAGUAAUCGUGGAUCAGAAUGCCACGGUGAAUACGUUCCCGGGCCUUGUACACACCGCCCGUCACACCAUGGGAGUGGGUUGCAAAAGAAGUAGGUAGCUUAACCUUCGGGAGGGCGCUUACCACUUUGUGAUUCAUGACUGGGGUGAAGUCGUAACAAGGUAACCGUAGGGGAACCUGCGGUUGGAUCACCUCCUUACCUUAAAGAAGC
rnacentral:rRNA from 1 species